AGAACGAACGCUGGCGGCAGGCCUAACACAUGCAAGUCGAACGAGACUUCGGUCGAGUGGCGCACGGGUGAGUAACGCGUGGGAACCUGCCCUAUGGUACGGAAUAACAUCGGGAAACUGGUGCUAAUACCGUAUAUCCCCUGAGGGGGAAAGAUUUAUCGCCAUAGGACGGGCCCGCGUAGGAUUAGCUAGUUGGUGAGGUAAUGGCUCACCAAGGCGACGAUCCUUAGCUGGUCUGAGAGGAUGAUCAGCCACACUGGGACUGAGACACGGCCCAGACUCCUACGGGAGGCAGCAGUGGGGAAUAUUGGACAAUGGGGGCAACCCUGAUCCAGCCAUGCCGCGUGAGUGAUGAAGGCCUUCGGGUUGUAAAGCUCUUUCGCACGCGACGAUGAUGACGGUAGCGUGAGAAGAAGCCCCGGCUAACUUCGUGCCAGCAGCCGC
rnacentral:rRNA from 1 species